rnacentral:misc_RNA from 1 species
GAUGAAGAACGUAGCGAAAUGCGAUAAGUAAUGUGAAUUGCAGAAUUCCGUGAAUCAUCGAAUCUUUGAACGCACAUUGCGCCCUCUGGUAUUCCGGGGGGCAUGCCUGUCCGAGCGUCAUUGCAAACCCUCAAGCCCGGCUUGCGCGAUGGGUCGCAUCGUCCCCGAAGGCCCUCCGGGGCGGGUGGGACGGGCCCGAAAGGCAGCGGCGGCGUCGCGUCCGGUCCUCGAGCGUAUGGGGCUUCGUCACCCGCUCCGUAGGCCCGGCCGGCGCCCGCCGGCGACCCCCCCUCAAUCUUUCCAGGUUGACCUCGGAUCAGGUAGGGAUACCCGCUGAACUUAAGCAUAUCAAUAAGCGGAGGA